rnacentral:rRNA from 1 species
AUACGGGGGGUGCAAGCGGUAAUCGGAAUUACUGGGCGUAAAGCGCGCGUAGGCGGUUUGCUCAGUCGGAUGUGAAAGCCCAGGGCUCAACCUUGGAACUGCAUACGAUACUGGCAAACUAGAGUGUGAGAGAGGAUAGUGGAAUUUCCGGUGUAGCGGUGAAAUGCGUAGAUAUCGGAAGGAACAUCAGUGGCGAAGGCGACUGUCUGGCUCAACACUGACGCUGAGGUGCGAAAGCGUGGGUAGCGAACAGGAUUAGAAACCCUAGUAGUCC